CCUACGGGAGGCAGCAGUGGGGAAUUUUGGACAAUGGGCGAAAGCCUGAUCCAGCCAUGCCGCGUGCGGGAAGAAGGCCUUCGGGUUGUAAACCGCUUUUGUCAGGGAAGAAAUCCUUUGAAAUAAUACUUCGGAGGGAUGACGGUACCUGAAGAAUAAGCACCGGCUAACUACGUGCCAGCAGCCGCGGUAAUACGUAGGGUGCAAGCGUUAAUCGGAAUUACUGGGCGUAAAGCGUGCGCAGGCGGUUAUGCAAGACAGAUGUGAAAUCCCCGGGCUCAACCUGGGAACUGCAUUUGUGACUGCAUGGCUAGAGUGCGGCAGAGGGGGAUGGAAUUCCGCGUGUAGCAGUGAAAUGCGUAGAUAUGCGGAGGAACACCGAUGGCGAAGGCAAUCCCCUGGGCCUGCACUGACGCUCAUGCACGAAAGCGUGGGGAGCAAACAGGAUUGGAUACCCUGGUAGUCCACGCCCUAAACGAUGUCAACUGGUUGUUGGGAGGGUUUCUUCUCAGUAACGUAGCUAACGCGUGAAGUUGACCGCCUGGGGAGUACGGCCGCAAGGUUGAAACUCAAAGGAAUUGACGG
rnacentral:rRNA from 1 species